rnacentral:rRNA from 1 species
UACGUGAGGUGCAAGCGUUAAUCGGAAUUACUGGGCGUAAAGCGUGCGCAGGCGGUUUUUGCAAGUCGGGUGUGAAAUCCCCAGGCUUAACCUGGGAACUGCAUUCGAGACUGCAUUACUAGAGUAUGGGAGAGGGAAGUGGAAUUUCCGGUGUAGCGGUGAAAUGCGCAGAUAUCCGAAGGAACACCGGUGGCGAAGGCGGCUUCCUGGACCGACACUGACGCUGAGGCGCGAAAGCUAGGGGAGCAAACGGG